rnacentral:rRNA from 1 species
CCUACGGGUGGCUGCAGUGGGGAAUAUUGGACAAUGGGCGAAAGCCUGAUCCAGCCAUGCCGCGUGUGUGAAGAAGGCCUUCGGGUUGUAAAGCACUUUCAGUGGGGAAGAAAGCCUUGGGGCUAAUACCCUCGAGGAAGGACAUCACCCACAGAAGAAGCACCGGCUAACUCCGUGCCCGCAGCCGCGGUAAUACGGAGGGUGCGAGCGUUAAUCGGAAUUACUGGGCGUAAAGCGCGCGUAGGCGGUCUGAUAAGCCGGUUGUGAAAGCCCCGGGCUCAACCUGGGAACGGCAUCCGGAACUGUCAGGCUAGAGUGCAGGAGAGGAAGGUAGAAUUCCCGGUGUAGCGGUGAAAUGCGUAGAGAUCGGGAGGAAUACCAGUGGCGAAGGCGGCCUUCUGGACUGACACUGACGCUGAGGUGCGAAAGCGUGGGUAGCAAACAGGAUUAGAUACCCUAGUAGUC